rnacentral:rRNA from 1 species
UACGGGGGGAGCAAGCGUUGUUCGGAUUUACGGGGCGUAAAGGGCGCGUAGGCGGUCAGCACAAGUCAGUUGUGAAAUCUCCGGGCUUAACUCGGAAAGGUCAACUGAUACUGUGCGACUAGAGUGCGGAAGGGGCAACUGGAAUUCUUGGUGUAGCGGUGAAAUGCGUAGAUAUCAAGAGGAACACCUGCGGCGAAGGCGGGUUGCUGGGCCGACACUGACGCUGAAGCGCGAAAGCCAGGGGAGCGAACGGG